AUUAGAACGCUGGCGGCAUGCUUUACACCAAGUGCCAAAGUCGGGAAACGGGUAAACGAGGGAGCUUGCUCCGCUGACGAGUGGCGAACGGGUGAGUAAUGCAUCGGAACGUACCCAGUCGUGGGGGAUAACGUAGCGAAAGUUACGCUAAUACCGCAUACGUCCUGAGGGAGAAAGCGGGGGACCGUAAGGCCUCGCGCGAUUGGAGCGGCCGAUGUCGGAUUAGCUAGUUGGUAGGGUAAAGGCCUACCAAGGCGACGAUCCGUAGCGGGUCUGAGAGGAUGAUCCGCCACACUGGGACUGAGACACGGCCCAGACUCCUACGGGAGGCAGCAGUGGGGAAUUUUGGACAAUGGGCGCAAGCCUGAUCCAGCCAUGCCGCGUGAGUGAAGAAGGCCUGG
rnacentral:rRNA from 1 species